rnacentral:rRNA from 1 species
GCUGUGUAAAAUGAGCUUGCGUCCUAUUAGCUAGUUGGUGAGGUAAUGGCUCACCAAGGCUACGAUGGGUAGGGGUUCUUAGUGGAAGGUCCCCCACACUGGCACUGAGAUACGGGCCAGACUCCUACGGGAGGCAGCAGUAGGGAAUAUUGGUCAAUGGGCGCAAGCCUGAACCAGCCAUGCCGCGUGCAGGAUGAAGGCUCUCUGAGUUGUAAACUGCUUUUGUACAGGAGCAAAAAAAUCCCUGCGGGGGUUCUUGAGAGUACUGUAAGAAUAAGCACCGGCUAAUUCCGUGCCAGCAGCCGCGGUAAUACGGGAGGUGCAAGCGUUAUCCGGUUUUAUUGGGUUUAAAGGGUGCGUAGGCGGCUUAUUAAGUCAGUUGUGAAAUCCUAGUGCUUAACGCUAGAACUGCGAUUGAUACUAUUAGGCUUGAUUAAAAAAAAAGGU